GUUGUUGUUGUUGUUGUUGUACCUGGUGCCCUAUUUGCAUAGUAGAAUGCCAUCGACAAAUGUUCCAACAGCGAUCAGGUAGAGAGAUAUAUCUUGUCAUUGGAGCUUUAGUCAUUAAAAACCUGUUUCCUUUUUUUUUGGAGAGGUAACUAGUUAGUUGUUAAAUAUAGAACAUGCUAAUAGUGUCCCUGCUUUGCGAACAGGAAAUACUUUAUGUACGCUCGUGAGAGGUUUAAUUACAAGCUUUGGAGAAGAUAGCUGUUUGUUUCCUGCCUCAGCCUUAAGAUACUAGAACUAUACAUGCGUGGCUGCUGUCUGCUGACACAUGGGUACUCUCCCUUAGCAUUGACACAUGAAGCUGUUAUUUGCUUAGGAUUGAAAGAUGUUGUCUUCAUGGUCUUUCGUGUUGCUACUGCUGAAGCUUGAGAUGCUCCUGGUUUCCAUCAAUCUCAUGUACCUUCCGAGUUCCCCAUAUUGAAUGUCUGGUGAACAAUGAAGCCCUUACCUCCAGCGACCCAAGAGAAGGGCUAUAAAAGCCCGAACAAGAACACAUUAAGGUCGUAUGUUUUUGGGUAAACAACUGCAAAAUCUAGUAUGUUUGAAUUCCAAAUGUAAUCUACUACUAUUAUAUAAGUGAGGAUAAGCAGGACAUGGUCAACAUGCGUGCUCAAUUCCUUGAGAACGUUCUGGUAAAUUCAUGCAAACUAGAGUAAUUUGAUUGGCCGAAAAAGUAUCUUACUUUAGCUGCUAUGUAAAUAUCUGUGUAUUUUGACAAAAAUACCCUUUGCUUAUCUCAUCAC
rnacentral:lncRNA from 1 species